rnacentral:rRNA from 1 species
UACGGAGGGUGCAAGCGUUAUCCGGAAUCACUGGGUUUAAAGGGUGCGUAGGCGGCCAGAUAAGUCAGAGGUGAAAGUUUCCGGCUCAACCGGGAGAUUGCCUUUGAUACUGUUUGGCUUGAAUCAGAUUGAGGUUGGCGGAAUGUGACAUGUAGCGGUGAAAUGCAUAGAUAUGUCAUAGAACAUCGAUUGCGAAGGCAGCUGGCUGGAUCUGUAUUGACGCUGAGGCACGAAAGCGUGGGGAGCAAAUAGG